GACGAACGCUGGCGGCGUGCCUAAUACAUGCAAGUCGAGCGAUGAAGAUUGGUGCUUGCUCCAAUUUGAAGAGCAGCGAACGGGUGAGUAACGCGUGGGGCAUCUGCCUUUGAGCGGGGGACAACAUUCGGAAACGAAUGCUAAUACCGCAUAACAACUUUAAACAUAAGUUUUAAGUUUGAAUGAUGCAUUUGCAUCACUCAAAGAUGUUCCCGCGUUGUAUUAGCUAGUUGGUGAGGUAAAGGCUCACCAAGGCGAUGAGACGUAGCCGACCUGAGAGGGGGAUCGGCCACAUUGGGGCGGGGACACGGACCAAACGCCUGCGGGAGGCAGCAGAAGGGAACCGUCGGCAACGGUGGGGAGGCUGGCCGAGUGACGGCGAGUCAGAGGAGGAGGCUUUCGGAUCGGGAUAAUCGGUUGGUGGAGGAGAACGGUGGUGAGAGUUGAAAGCGCAUCAAGUGACGGUAACUACAGAGAAAGGAACGGCUAACUACGUG
rnacentral:rRNA from 1 species